GAGUAACACGUAGGUGACCUGCCCCGAAGCAGGGACUAACGGCUCGAAAGGGCCGCUAAUACCCAAAAGGGUCGCGUAUCAAAGCGCGAUCAGAGUUACGGCGUUUCGGGAGGGGCCUGCGGCCCAUCAGCUAGUUGGUAGGGUAAUGGCCUACCAAGGCGACGACGGGUAGGGGGCCUGAGAGGGUGACCCCCCACAUUGGCACUGACACACGGGCCAAACUCCUACGGGAGGCAGCAGUGAGGAAUAUUGCGCAAUGAGCGAAAGCUAGACGCAGCAACGCCGCGUGGACGAUGAAGGCCUUCGGGUCGUAAAGUCCUUUUCAGGGGGACGAGAGAGGACGGUACCCCUGGAAUAAGUCACGGCUAACUACGUGCCAGCAGCCGCGGUAAAACGUAGGUGGCAAGCGUUAUCCGGAUUCACUGGGCGUAAAGCGCCUGCAGGCGGUCCUGUAAGUGGGACGUGAAAUCUCUCGGCUCAACUGAGAGGGGCCGUUCCAUACUGCGGGACUGGAGGGCAGAAGAGGGAAGCGGAAUUCCCGGUGUAGUGGUGAAAUGCGUAGAUAUCGGGAGGAACACCAGUGGCGAAGGCGGCUUCCUGGCCUGCACCUGACGCUAAGAGGCGAAAGCUAGGGGAGCGAACGGGAUUAGAAACCCCGGUAGUCCUAGCCGUAAACCAUGGAUACUAGGUGUCGGUGGUCCUAACCCCAUCGGUGCCGAAGCUAACGCGUUAAGUAUCCCGCCUGGGGACUACGGCCGCAAGGUUAAAACUCAAAGGAAUUGACGGGGGCCCGCACAAGCAGCGGAGCGUGUGGUUUAAUUCGAUGCUACACGAAGAACCUUACCCAGGUUUGACAUGCAGGUAGUAGUGAAGCGAAAGUGGAACGACCCUUCGGGGAGCCUGCACAGGUGCUGCAUGGCUGUCGUCAGCUCGUGCCGUGAGGUGUUGGGUUAAGUCCCCUAACGAGCGCAACCCUCGCCGUCAGUUACAAGUGUCUGGCGGGACUGCCGGUCUAAAACCGGAGGAAGGUGGGGAUGACGUCAAGUCAGCAUGGCCUUUAUAUCUGGGGCUACACACACGCUACAAUGGCCGGUACAUGGGUUGCCAACCCGCGAGGGGGAGCCAAUCCUGCAAGUCGUCUCAGUUCGGAUUGGAGGCU
rnacentral:rRNA from 1 species